UCCUUCGUGGUGAAAUGGUCAGCACACUGAGCCGGUAUUUCAGAGGUCCGUGGUUCGAUCCCCGGCGAAGGCA
rnacentral:tRNA from 1 species